GAUGAACGCUGGCGGCGUGCCUAAUACAUGCAAGUCGAGCGAACAGACGAGGAGCUUGCUCCUCUGAUGUUAGCGGCGGACGGGUGAGUAACAUGUGGAUAACCUACCUAUAAGACUGGGACAACUUCGGGAAACCGGUGCUAAUACCGGAUAACAUGUUGAACCGCAUGGUUCAAAAGUGAAAGACGGUCUUGCUGUCACUUCUAGAUGGAUCCGCGCCGCAUUAGCUAGUUGGUAAGGUAACGGCUUACCAAGGCAACGAUGCGUAGCCGACCUGGGAGGGUGAACGGCCACACUGGAGGUGAGACGCGGUCCAGACUCCUACGGGAGGCAGCGGUAGGGAAUCUUCCGCAAUGGGCGAAAGCCUGACGGAGCAGCGCCGCGUGGGUGAAGAAGGUCUUCGGGUCGUAAAACUCUGUUAUUGGGGAAGAACGAAUGUGUAAGUAGCUAUGCACGUCUUGACGGUACCUGAUCAGGAAGCCACGGCUAACUACGUG
rnacentral:rRNA from 1 species